CCACUUUUCAGAUCAUUAACUUUACAUAUAAGAAAAAUUCCCUGAGUAAGCCAUUGCUGGGGGAAAAAUUAUAAACUUUUCAUGUCAUGAUACUUUAUUUAUUUCCAUAAAAACUUAACAUCACUUCUUGAUAUUUUCUAAUUGAGAGCUCUUUAUUGAAAAAUAGCAACUUUCUAAAUUAAGAGCUCCUUAUUGAAAAUAGCAGUUUGUGCACACAAUAGCAUAACAUUCUUUUCUGUAUUUUGAGAAUUAAGAAAAUAAAUGUUUUUAAAGAUAUAUGCCAAUAGUGAUAUUUAACACAUAAAGGUGUGAUGUAUUUUUGAAGUGUCUUAGAAGAAAGCCAAUGUGGAUAUUGCAGGGUCACUGUGGAAAUGUGUAUCAGUGACCGUUUAGUUGUAAAUGCACAAAAGAGAAAGAAUGUCAGCCUUAGAGGAUUAUCCUGCUUUUCCCAAUUUUAGAACCAGGAAGUUUUUACUGAAAUGGCUUUGUGGAACUUACUUACAAGCUAAGUAACCUUCCCAGUAGUUUUAUUAUGGACAGUAAUUAGUGCUUUCGCUUUUCUGAUGAAGAUGUGUAAAAAAAAACAGGUUAGGAAUUUCCUCUCCCCCACCAGACUCAUUCUGUGGAAUAAGCAGAAGCAGGACGACAGCCAGCUGGAGUCUGACUGCAGGGACUCGCUUCCUCAACACCCUGACCUCACACUGGCUCAGCGGAAGGUCUGAACUGUGCUGAAAUGUUAUAGAACAAAUGUGAAUAAAGCUGUGGGUAGGGAGGGGAGAGCUAGUGGGAGAGAUACAUUCUGUUGCUUUAAGUGAUGGCCAUUCUUUCUUAUUUCUUGUUUCCACAAAACGUUUUCCAUUUGCCUAACAAACUUCUUAAUAUAUUUCCAUAAGAGAAUUUUAAUACUUUUUUAAAUUUAUAAUUUGAUUUUGAUGUCUUUUCUCCCUACUCCCAGGGAACAGAAAAUAGGGUAGCUGUUAUUGCUCUGGAGUGUUUUGUCACCCUUCCAUGACGCCUCCUCUGUGCAUUUGAGUUCACUGUUUAUGCUCAACACUGAAUUUCAACAAAAUGCCUCAUUUGGAACUUA
rnacentral:lncRNA from 1 species